rnacentral:lncRNA from 1 species
UUAGGCCGGUGCUCGAAUGGCUGUUGGUUAGGCCGGUGUUCGAAUGGUUGUUGGUUAGGCCGGUGAUCAAAUUGCUGUUGGGUAGGCCGGUGUUCGAAUGGCUGUUGGGUAGGCCGGUGAUCGAAUUGCUGCUGGGCCGGCAGAUGAUCGAAUUGCUGCUGGGUAGGGCAAUAGUCGAAUUGCUGGGGGUUAUGGUGGUGGUUGUAAGGAUGAUAGUGGUGUUGAUGGUGGUAGUCGGGAGGGAAAUU